GCGCCGUGCAUGAGUACGUAGUAGGGAUGAGGAUCGUAACGCCUGCACCGGCCAGCCAGGGAUUUGCCGUGGUCAGGGAGCUCAGCAUCGGGGACCCUGACCUCGACGCGGUCAAGGUCUCCCUCGGCGUCCUCGGCGUCGUGUC
rnacentral:pre_miRNA from 1 species